AUACGUAGGGGGCGAGCGUUGUCCGGAAUGAUUGGGCGUAAAGGGCGUGUAGGCGGCCUGUUAAGUCUGGAGUGAAAGUCCCGUUUUCAAGAUGGGAAUUGCUUUGGAUACUGGCGGGCUUGGGUGCAGGAGAGGGUAUCGGAAUUCCCGGUGUAGCGGUGAAAAGCGUAGAGAUCGGGAGGAACACCAGUGGCGAAGGCGGGUAACUGGACUGCAACUGACGCUGAGGCGCGAAAGUGUGGGGAGCAAACAGGAUUAGAUACCCUGGUAGUCCACACUGUAAACGAUGAAUGCUAGGUGUAGGGGGUAUCGACCCCUUCUGUGCCGCAGUAAACACAAUAAGCAUUCCGCCUGGGGAGUACGGCCGCAAGGUUGAAACUCAAAGGAAUUGACGGGG
rnacentral:rRNA from 1 species